UAGUUAUCAUUCUGGUAUUGUUCAAAAACAGUUUCCCCAAUUUCUGCAAACCCUAAUCCAAUGAGUUUCCGCAAUGGCAACGGUUUACUAUCAAGAGCAACGCGAAUAAAAACAAAGCUACAAUCAUCUCUCGAAGCCACCGUUUUGGAAGUAAACGACGUGUCGUAUCAGCACGCAGGUCACGCCGCAAUGAAAGAAACUUCCGAUAAAGAAACUCAUUUCAAUUUGAAAAUCGUUUCUCCCAAAUUCGAAGGUCAGACUCUCGUUAAACGACACCGUAUGGUCUAUGAUCUUCUCAACGAUGAACUUCAAUCUGGUCUUCACGCACUUUCCAUUGUUGCUAAGACCCCUAAUGAAAUUACACCUUCUGAAAAAUGAUACGUCUCUUCUGAUUUUGCUGUGAUGGAAGGACGUUCAUGUAUAUUGAAGUAUGAAAGAAAGAAUACAACAAAUGGUGGACCAAAGAGAAUUUCUAUUUUAUUGUUGUUUGGAAUUUUAGUAGAGGAAGUGAAUAAAUGAAAGGAAAGAAAAUAAUUGUAAUUGCAGUGCUAUUUUUAGUCUGUGUUUUGCUCUGCACUAUUUUUAGAAACCAUGCUUUCACAUAUGUAAAAUGUAAUUUAUUCAUUACACCAAUCAAGCUAUGACUUGAGAUUCAUUUCCAAUCAAAUUAUGAUUUGUGAUUUAAAA